UAUACUGUCAUAUUUUUUCGUCACCUUUGCCAUUGUUGUUUGAUCUUUUUGAUCCCGGAGUUUUACUUUUUGAUCCCGCUGAUCCCGGAUUUUGUACGAUGAUUAUGGCUAUAUGCAGAAGACAGAAGUUGGAGUACCGAAUAUCGUUCCGAUACGUUUCGAUAAAGGCUCAUAUACCAAUUAGGUUGCGGAUUAGUGUGAUGCUGUCCCACGAAAUUCCCAAUCUAGAUGGCGAAUUGGAUUGCAAGAAUGUGCAUCCUUAGGAGUUCCAAUGUCGACCAAUUUCAACAUAAGCAAACAUUGAUUGCUCUGCAAUGCACGGAACCAUCCGUCAAGCUAGGUAUCAAUCCGAACAAAAAAUAUAUCCUCCGGAUCGUUUGAGCACGGUAGCUGCUGGUACUCUAUGCGCCGUUACAAAAAACCGGUCAUCUUCCUGAAGAAUCCAUAUUUUUUGAUUCCAAGAAAUUACGGAGAUUGUAGCUGCCGUUCGUUAAACGAAAAUCGAAGAAAACAAGGACAAAAUCAACAUCCAUUAAUGAACUGGAAGCGAAGAAUCAUCACAGGAAUUAACUGUUGCAGCAAAUAGAUUUCAAAUAGAAUUGGAUAGUAACAAAAUCCAAAAAGUGCGAAGCUAGAACAAGGAUCGGUAAAACCUGGGAGGUGAAACAAAAUCAGCGCACUCGAACAAAUUAAGGCCCCAUGGAUCAGCGAAGGCAAAGAGUUCGGAGUGAAGAACAUCCAGUUAAAGCUCAACAAACUCGAGGAAGUGGAUGAAAUAUGAGCAGAAACAUUUAUAUUUUAAGUUGCAGCAUUUUUUUAUUGUUCACAAAAAUAAAUAC